AUUGAACGCUGGCGGCAGGCCUAACACAUGCCAGUCGAGCGGAUGAAGGGAGCUUGCUCCUGGAUUCAGCGGCGGACGGGUGAGUAAUGCCUAGGAAUCUGCCUGGUAGUGGGGGAUAACGUCCGGAAACGGGCGCUAAUACCGCAUACGUCCUGAGGGAGAACGUGGGGGAUCUUCGGACCUCACGCUAUCAGAUGAGCCUAGGUCGGAUUAGCUAGUUGGUGGGGUAAAGGCCUACCAAGGCGACGAUCCGUAACUGGGCUGAGAGGAUGAUCUGUCACACUGGAACUGAGACACGGUCCAGACUCCUACGGGAGGCAGCAGUGGGGAAUAUUGGACAAUGGGCGAAAGCCUGAUCCAGCCAUGCCGCGUGUGUGAAGAAGGUCUUCGGAUUGUAAAGCACUUUAAGUUGGGAGGAAGGGCAGUAAGUUAAUACCUUGCUGUUUUGACGUUACCAACAGAAUAAGCACCGGCUAACUUCGUG
rnacentral:rRNA from 1 species